ACGGCGAGUGAGCGGUAAAAGCUCAAAUUUGAAAUCUGGUACUUUCAGUGCCCGAGUUGUAAUUUGUAGAAUUUGUCUUUGAUUAGGUCCUUGUCUAUGUUCCUUGGAACAGGACGUCAUAGAGGGUGAGAAUCCCGUUUGGCGAGGAUACCUUUUCUCUGUAAGACUUUUUCGAAGAGUCGAGUUGUUUGGGAAUGCAGCUCAAAGUGGGUGGUAAAUUCCAUCUAAAGCUAAAUAUUGGCGAGAGACCGAUAGCGAACAAGUACAGUGAUGGAAAGAUGAAAAGAACUUUGAAAAGAGAGUGAAAAAGUACGUGAAAUUGUUGAAAGGGAAGGGCAUUUGAUCAGACAUGGUGUUUUUUGCAUGCACUCGCCUCUCGUGGGCUUGGGCCUCUCAAAAAUUUCACUGGGCCAACAUCAAUUCUGGCAGCAGGAUAAAUCAUUAAGAAUGUAGCUACUUCGGUAGUGUUAUAGCUUUUUGGAAUACUGUUAGCCGGGAUUGAGGACUGCG
rnacentral:rRNA from 1 species